rnacentral:rRNA from 1 species
AUUGAACGCUGGCGGCAUGCCUUACACAUGCAAGUCGAACGGUAGAGGGGGCAACCCCUUGAGAGUGGCGAACGGGUGAGUAAUGCAUCGGAACGUGCCCAGUCGUGGGGGAUAGCCCGGGGAAACCCGGAUUAAUACCGCAUACGACCUGAGGGUGAAAGCGGGGGACCGCAAGGCCUCGCGCGAUUGGAGCGGCCGAGGUCGGAUUAGCUAGUUGGUGGGGUAAAGGCCUACCAAGGCGACGAUCCGUAGCUGGUCUGAGAGGACGACCAGCCACACUGGGACUGAGACACGGCCCAGACGCCUACGGGAGGCAGCAGUGGGGAAUUUUGGACAAUGGGGGCACCCCUGAUCCAGCCAUGCCGCGUGCGGGAAGAAGGCCUUCGGGUUGUAAACCGCUUUUGUCAGGGAAGAAAUCCUUUGGGUUAAUAACCUGGGGGGAUGACGGUACCUGAAGAAUAAGCACCGGCUAACUACGUGCCAGCCGCCGCCGUAA